UACGGGAGGCAGCAGUGGGGAAUAUUGCACAAUGGGCGAAAGCCUGAUGCAGCUAUGCCGCGUGUAUGAAGAAGGCCUUAGGGUUGUAAAGUACUUUCAUCGGGGAGGAAAAAACAAAACUAAUAAUUUUAUUUCUUGACGUUACCCGAAAAAGAAGCACCGGCUAACUCCGUGCCAGCAGCCGCGGUAAUACGGAGGGUGCUAGCGUUAAUCAGAAUUACUGGGCGUAAAGAGCACGUAGGUGGUUUUUUUAAAGUCAGAUGUGAAAUCCCUGGGCUUAAACCUGGAAACUGCAUUUUGAAACUGAAAUACUAGAAGUAUCGUAGAGGGAGGUAGAAUUCUAGGUGUAGCGGUGAAAUGCGUAGAUAUCUGGAGGAAUACCUGUGGCGAAAGCGGCCUCCUAAACGAAUACUGACACUGAGGUGCGAAAGCGUGGGGAGCAAACAGGAUUAGAUACC
rnacentral:rRNA from 1 species